rnacentral:rRNA from 1 species
CGGCGAGUGAAGCGGCAAAAGCUCAAAUUUGAAAUCUGGCUCUUUUAGGGUCCGAGUUGUAAUUUGUAGAAGAUGUUUCGGGUGUGGCUCCGGUUUAAGUUCUUUGGAAUAUUACAUCAUAGAGGGUGAGAAUCCCGUAUGUGACCGGCAGCCUUCGCCUAUGUGAAACUCUUUCGACGAGUCGAGUUGUUUGGGAAUGCAGCUCAAAAUGGGAGGUAUAUUUCUUCUAAAGCUAAAUAUUGGCCAGAGACCGAUAGCGCACAAGUAGAGUGAUCGAAAGAUGAAAAGCACUUUGGAAAGAGAGUUAAACAGUACGUGAAAUUGUUGAAAGGGAAGCGCUUGCAACCAGACUUGCACGCAGUUGAUCAUCCGGUGUUCUCACCGGGGCACUCUGCUGCGUUCAGGCCAGCAUCGGUUUUGGUGGUUGGAUAAAGGCCUUGGGAAUGUGGCUUCCUUCGGGGAGUGUUAUAGCCCUCGGUGCAAUGCAGCCUACCGGGACCGAGGACCGCGCUUCGGCUAGGAUGCUGGCGUAAUGGUUGUAAGCGACCCGUCUUGAAACACGGACCAAGGAGUCUAACAUCUAUGCGAGUGUUUGGGUGUUAAACCCAUACGCGUAAUGAAAGUGAACGGAGGUGAGAACCCUUAAGGGUGCAUCAUCGACCGGUCCUGAUGUCUUCGGAUGGAUCUGAGUAAGAGCAUAGCUGUUGGGACCCGAAAGAUGGUGAACUAUGCGUGAAUAGGGUGAAGCCAGAGGAAACUCUGGUGGAGGCUCGCAGCGGUUCUGACGUGCAAAUCGAUCGUCAAAUUUGCGCAUAGGGGCGAAAGACUUAUCGAACCAUUGAACACCUACUAGGUGGUUAAGAGGCCUUAGUACGGCCUAGUCCUCACCGAGGGCGACAUUGUCAAAUUGUUCGGGGACCUCCUGAUAACUCUCAGACUACCGCAGCCCGCCCGAAAGGGGGGUGCGCACCGGGCUAACGACCCUGGGGAUGGUAACAACGUCUGGGUAGGGAAGAUCCGCAGCCAAGUCCUACCGCCCUCCGGGGCCACGGAUGCAGUUCACAGACUUGAAGGCAGUGGGCUCCCCCGGGAGCUUAAGAUAAAGUCGAACCCCCCGGAGACGGGGUGGAGGGAGGAGAGUGCGUCGCACUCAGAGUCCUCA